rnacentral:rRNA from 1 species
CCUANGGGAGGCAGCAGUGAGGAAUAUUGGUCAAUGGGCGCGAGCCUGAACCAGCCAUCCCGCGUGCAGGAAGACGGCCCUAUGGGUUGUAAACUGCUUUUGUGCAGGAAGAACGACCGGAUCGAGAUCCGGGUUGACGGUACUGCAUGAAUAAGCACCGGCUAACUCCGUGCCAGCAGCCGCGGUAAUACGGAGGGUGCAAGCGUUAUCCGGAUUUAUUGGGUUUAAAGGGUGCGUAGGCGGUGAAAUAAGUCAGUGGUGAAAAGCUGCAGCUCAACUGUAGUCCUGCCAUUGAAACUGUUUUACUUGAGUAACCAUGAGGUAGGCGGAAUGUGUAGUGUAGCGGUGAAAUGCUUAGAUAUUACACAGAACACCGAUUGCGUAGGCAGCUUACUAGAGGUUCACUGACGCUGAUGCACGAAAGCGUGGGGAUCAAACAGGAUUAGAUACCCCUNUANUC